rnacentral:rRNA from 1 species
AGGAUGGUCAGCCACACUGGGACUGAGACACUGCCCAGACUCCUACGGGAGGCUGCAGUCGAGGAUCAUUCGCAAUGGGCGAAAGCCUGACGAUGCGACGCUGCGUGGAGGAUGAAGGCCUUCGGGUUGUAAACUCCUGUCGUCCGGGAAAAAUGGGUUCCGGGGGAAUAUCCCGGGACCGUGAUGGUACCGGAGGAGGAAGCCACGGCUAACUCUGUGCCAGCAGCCGCGGUAAUACAGAGGUGGCGAGCGUUGUUCGGAUUUACUGGGCGUAAAGGGUGCGUAGGCGGUUCCGCAUGUCGGUUGUGAAAUCCCCCGGCUCAACCGGGGAAGGUCAUCCGAAACUGCGGGGCUAGAGUGCAGGAGGGGAGAGCGGAAUUCUUGGUGUAGCGGUGAAAUGCGUUGAUAUCAAGAGGAACGCCGGUGGCGAAGGCGGCUCUCUGGAAUGCAACUGACGCUGAGGCACGAGAGCGUGGGGAGCAAACAGGAUUAGAUACCCUGGUAGUCCACGCUGUAAACGGUGUGCGCUUGGUGUUGGGGGGGUGAAAGCCUCCAGUGCCGGAGCUAACGCGUUAAGUGCACCGCCUGGGAAGUACGGUCGCAAGACUAAAACUCAAAGAAAUUGACGGGGGCCCGCACAAGCGGAGGAGCAUGUGGCUUAAUUCGAUGCGACGCGAAGAACCUUACCAGGGCUUGACAUGCAGCUGCACGUCCCGUGAAAGCGGGAUUCCUUCGAGGGUGCUGCACAGGUGCUGCACGGCUGUCGUCAGUUCGUGCCGUGAGGUGUUUGGUUAAGUCCAGCAACGAACGCAACCCCUGUGUUCUGUUGCGACCGCCGGUGAAAGCCGGCGCGCACUCUGAACAGACUGCCCGUAUAAGCAGGAGGAAGGUGGGGAUGACGUCAAGUCAGUAUGGCCCUUACGUCCUGGGCUGCACACGUGCUACAAUGGCCGGUACAGAGGGUUGCAAGACCGCGAGGUGGAGCUAAUCCCCAAAACCGGCCCCAGUUCAGAUUGCAGUCUGCAACUCGACUGCAUGAAGUUGGAUUCGCUAGUAACGGCGCAUCAGCUACGGCGCCGUGAAUACGUUCCCGGGCCUUGUACACACCGCCCGUCACAUCAUGAAAGCCGUCUGCACCCGCAGUCGCUGAGCCAACCCGCAAGGGAGGCAGGCGCCGAAGGUGUGGGUGGUGAUUGGGAUGAAGUCGUAACAAGGUA